UAAUCAGAGUUCGUUUGAGUCGGUUCCCCGCUGUUCCCCACUUUUAUAGUGUUCCCCAAUAAACCUCACACUAUAUAUAUAUAUAUAUAUAUAUAUAUAUAUAUAUAUAUAUAUAUAUAUGGGAAGGUUCAUUGGGGAACACUAAAAAAGUGGGGAACAACGGGGAACCGACUCAAACGAACUCUGAUUGGACUCAUUCCAGCG
rnacentral:lncRNA from 1 species